AUUGAACGCUGGCGGCAGGCUUAACACAUGCAAGUCGAGCGAGCGGCGGACGGGUGAGUAAUGUCUGGGAAACUGCCUGAUGGAGGGGGAUAACUACUGGAAACGGUAGCUAAUACCGCAUACCAUCAGAUGUGCCCAGAUGGGAUUAGCUAGUAGGUGGGGUAAUGGCUCACAGAGGCGAAGAUCCCUAGCUGGUCUGAGAGGAGGACCAGCCACACUGGAACUGAGACACGUUCCAGCCGCCUACGUGAGGCAGCAGGGGGGAAUAUUGCACAAUGUGCGCAAGCCUGAUGCAGCCAGGCCGCGUGUGUGAAGAAGGCCUUCGGGUUGUAAAGCACUUUCAGCGAGGAGGCGUUACUCGCAGAAGAAGCACCGGCUAACUCCGUGCCAGCAGCCGCGGUAAUUC
rnacentral:rRNA from 1 species